GGGGGGAGAGGAGGUGAGAGGGAGUGGAGUUUUAAUAGCAGAUGUGUCUUGAAACUGAGAUAAGAGUUAACAUACUCAAGGAGAGAGAACCAAAACCACAACCAGUAUUAAUCUGAAUCUUACUUACAAUUAGAGAAAUAGGGAAAAUUGAAUAUCCAUUACAUGAAAACAUUCAACACCUUUUUAUGAUUAAAAAACAAACAAACAAACCCAGGACUAGAAGGAAACUAAUUGAACAUAGUAAAGGCCAUGCAUGAGAAAUGUUCAGCCAACAUCGCACUCAAUGGUGAAAUACAGAAAGCUUUCCUUCUAUAAAAAUUAACCAAAGUAGUUCAAGGAGCUACAUGUAAGAGCUAAAACUAUAAAACUCCUAGAAGAAAAUGUAUGGGAAAAGCUUCAUGAUAUUGAUUUGCCAAUGAUUUCUUGGAUAUGAUAGCAAAAACAUAGACAACAAAAGAAAUUAGGCUUCAAAUUCAGCUCAACAAUAAGGUCUGUAAACUCUUAAAUGAGACACAUAUCCAGAGUCAGACAAAAUCUCACCAUCUCCUGUCCAGGUCUGUAUCAUCACUCACCUGAAUGCUACACCAGAGUCCUAAUAACUUGCCAGGUAUGUUCACACUCACCCUCCCUUAGAUCUAAUCUCAUCUUAGUGAUUUUUGUUUUAAAAAUUAAUCAAAAUUUCACAUAUGUAAAGAAAAAUAACCAAAUUAUAAUAUUAUAGUAGGUGACUUUCAAAAAGUACACGUCCUUGUGCCAUGAUGUAAAUUAAGGAAACAGAUUUUAGAAAUAUUUUCAGAAGCUUAGUCAUAGCACCUUCCAAAUUUCAGCUCCUUCCCUUCUCCCACAAAGGAACUGUGUUAAUCAACUUCUGACACUAGUUCCCAAUAAUCCCUGCUUCCAGUUAUUGCACACUUGUGCAAUUGCUCUGAAUGUGAGCUAAACCUAAUGAAUUGCUUAGAAUGACUACCAACAUUAUAAUUUGUUACUUCUAUGACUCAGUCUAGUUAUGGAAUGAUUCCCACCUUGAUAGCACUGUCUCUUGCUGCCUCUCUGUCUCUCUUUCCCUGAAUCUUACCUUUCCCCUCUCUUUCUGUCUCUCUCUGCAGCUCUCUCUCUCUCCCCUAUUCUCUCUCUUUCUUGGCUUGUUCGCAUGGAUGAAGCAAGUCACCAUGGUGGAGAGACUCACAUGGUAAUGACUUCAGGAGAGUCCUCAGGUACCAACCUGCAAAGAAUUGAGGCCUUCUGUCCAAAAACACAUAAUGAAAUGAACAUCAGUGUCCUUGGGAAGUGGAUCCUUCUCUAACUGAGCCUUGAGUGAUCAUAGAACAAAAUUUGAAACCUUAUUUAGGGUUAAUAUAAGUAACAUUGAAAGUGGCAACAGGGUAGGGUUACUUUGAAAUAGGAUUAACACUAUGAUAUCAGUUGCUUAUUCUUCUGAUCAGUAAAAUAUAUUGUUUAAGUGAGGGAAUCAAAGUGAUUCCAGGGACAAUUGAAUUUUUUUGCUGAAUUGUAUAUAACGUAAAGGUAAAAAAGGUGAGUUCUUUAUAUGUAUAAGCAGAAAAAGCCCAUUUCCCUAUCUAUUUUCUUAGACUGUUUCACUGGAACAAGUGGGCAACAGUCCUAUCUCUACAAUAUUGAAUGGCAAUAAAACUGUACAGGACUAGAAAAUGGAUUGGCAGAUUUACAACCCAGAGUUGUCUCCAAGUCUCUGGGCUCCAUCCAUUUUGAAAUGUGAACACCUAGAAAGCUAGAGCUCCAGGCUCCCUGACAUGUUGGGAGCUUAAUCUGGGUUCUAUCCUGGUGGACCCAUUUCUUCUCAGGAAGAUGGAAGAAUUUUGAUUUUUUUCAGAUGAAGGCAAUUAACCAAACAACAGCCAUGAUGCUUUCCCAGCAAGUGUAGGGUGCAUUCAGGGAAGGAAGGUACAGAAAGUUCAGGCUGUAACAGGAAAUUGUGCUGUCCAGUCCUGUUGUGGUAAAACAGGAUAUUCUUCUUCCUAAGAAAACAUAUUAUAUACUUGCUAAAAUUUGUGCAGUGUAAAAGGAUCUCCUCAGUUUUAAUAUGUAAAUAAUGUGAAAUUUUAUCCUGACUUUCUAUUCACUUUCAGUCUACCUAUAGGCAUAUACUUGGUACUGCUUAUUCAAAAUUAAAGAGAUUUCUUUCUUUUUUUUUCGGUGGAGAGGAAUUUCUUUGUUAAAACUUUUAAUUCACCAAAAAUAUGAAAAAAUAAAUUCCCUGCCAAUGCUUCAAACUCCUUU